rnacentral:lncRNA from 1 species
AAAAUGCGUGUGCAAAGUGACCCCAUUUUUUUAAGGCAGUUUUGACUAUGAAGGAAAGAGACCUCUAGCAUCUAAAGACAAGGUGCACGGACACUGUCAGAUUCUGCACCACGGUCUCCAAAAUGGGAAGCUUCCGGUUGCAUUUUGAGACACACAGGGACGUGUGCAAAUCCCCCCCAGUCCUUAGGAGAAUGGCCCCCGUCUGCCCUGUGGGUGGAGGAUGUGUACAUUUUUCAUUUCAUUCCCAUUUACAUUUUUAUUCUCAUUUUUUUUUUUUCCUGGCAGCGGGUCGACUUUUAUGGAAACCCAGAGACACUUCAGAACAGGCUCGAACUGGUUUCAUGGAGGAUUGAGAAACCUGACCCCCUUCCCCUGGCUACAAAGCUGUGCUGGGUAUUUACCUUAAUUUCUUGCUUAAUUUCUAUUUUUUUAAUUUUUUGAGGCUAGUGGAGGGUACUGGGAUGGAACUCAGGGUCCUCAACCCCUGAGCCCCCUCCCCAGCCCCUAUUUUGUAUUUUACUUAGAGACAGGGUCUCCCUGAGUUGCUUAGGGGCCUCCCUUUGGCUGAGGCUGGCUUUGAACUCGCGAUCCUCCCGCCUCAGCCUCCCCAGCCGCUGGGAUGACAGGCGUGUGUCACUGCUGUGCCUGGCUCUUAAUGUCUAAAGAGAGGAGGAAGCAGUUUUUAGGGACCCCCUGGAGCAAGCUCGCUUGCCAGCCCCGCCCACCGGGGGAGCCAGUCUGCAGCGUGGACCAGCCCGAGGUCACCAAGGAAGAAACCGAGUUUGCCUGGGAGCCAGGGAGACGAGAUAAAUAAAAACCCCAUAAGCACCGUGACCUUGGAGAUGAACUUGGGCGACUCCGAGGCUUCCGUGGAGGAUGACUCAGCGCCCUCGCGUCUCCAGCAGAGGGUGGGGUUUGGAGACAGUCGGGAAGGCCCAUGUUGGAGAGAGAGGGCUGGGGAGGAGAAGUUGGAUUUGAUCAGUGCACCUCCUGUGCGUGUGUACAGAUACCACACGGAACCCCAUCCACUCUGUACAACGAAUGCCUGUUAAUCAAAAGUGUAAACAGAUAAAAAUAAAAAUCAUGUUGGGGAGCCGAUGACAGAUGUUCAGACAACUGCCUAGUGAUUAAUUUUAAAAAAAA